CUUUAAUUGGUGUUGGAGCACACAAUCUUUUCGUGAUUGGGGAUAAUUAAAGU
rnacentral:tRNA from 1 species